GGGAGAGAGAGAAAAAAAAAGGGGGGGAGAGGGAGAAGUGUUGGUCUCCAGCCGGGGCAGCGAAACCCGCCAACUCCGCAGUCUCAUCGGCCGUCGUAGUCCUCCCAUGGUUGCCAAAUUUUAGUGAAUGCUGAGUGUGUGUCUCGUACUUAAGUUGUGAGUUUGUCCAUUAAGUGUGCCUCUUUAAUUUUUUUGUAUAACCCUGUCCAUGUGUGGCAUGUCUACA